rnacentral:lncRNA from 1 species
CGCGAGCGUGAGGUCCGCGAUGUCGUGAGGUCUGUGAUCGAUUCCGAUUUCGAGGAAUCGCGAUUUCGCAAGGUCCCGCGAUAUAGUCGAAAUCGCGGACAUUCGAUUCGCAGCAAGCCGGUGAGGAGUGUCGUUAUGUUUCAUCGCGAUGUUGGGUUCUGUUUCAUCGCGGUUAUGUUUUAUCACGAUGGGUUCCAUAACUCGCAAUGUGUUCUGUUUCACCGCAGAACCACCGGAUGGGUUCACGAUGGAUUCCGUCCUCGCAAUGGGUUCCUACAUCGCAGAUGGGUUCCUCGCACGGUUUGAUCUGGUGUCCGCAUGGUGAUCACCGUGCGGACGUGCCGUUCCAGAUGUUUUUCCAGCAUAAAUCAGGAACGACACUUACCGUUCCUUGAGUCAGUGCGGUACCUACCUCCUCCACCUUCCGAUUUCGUAUCCACGGCUAUAUCCUCCUCCAGCCACCGUUCCAACACCAGUAAGUGUUCCAACAUCGAGCGAACUGCAAUCUCCGCAGUUUUGACACUCCGUUCCGGUACCCAUCGUGAUCGAACAGUUCCGGUACAACAUCGAGCGAACUGUAAGUGUUCCGGUACCUCACCGGUCACCGAACAGUUCUGUCACGGAACCCAUCGCGGUUCCUCCAAGUACCUCUUCUGUAUCCGAACCUCCGCGAGCGUGAGGUCCGCGAUGUCGUGAGGUCUGUGAUCGAUUCCGAUUUCGAGGAAUCGCGAUUUCGCAAGGUCCCGCGAUAUAGUCGAAAUCGCGGACAUUCGAUUCGCAGCAAGCCGGUGAGGAGUGUCGUUAUGUUUCAUCGCGAUGUUGGGUUCUGUUUCAUCGCGGUUAUGUUUUAUCACGAUGGGUUCCAUAACUCGCAAUGUGUUCUGUUUCACCGCAGAACCACC